ACUACCAUGGCUCUCAGUGCCUUGGUGUAACCUGGGAUGUGUGGCCUUCUGGCCAAGCAUCUGUCAUUUCAUAUUGUUGGAGCAUUCCUUAUAACCCUGGGGUUGCAGCUCUCUGUAAGUUUGCUGUGGCCUGACCAAGAAAGAAGGCAUAUGCAGAUUUCUACAGAAAUUAUAAUUGAAUUAAAGAAUUUGAGAUGAGGAAGGCUAAUAUCUCUCAGAGUACAAA
rnacentral:lncRNA from 1 species